rnacentral:rRNA from 1 species
CCUACGGGAGGCAGCAGUGGGGAAUAUUGGACAAUGGGGGCAACCCUGAUCCAGCCAUGCCGCGUGUGUGAAGAAGGCCCUCGGGUUGUAAAGCACUUUCAGUGAGGAAGAACGCCUGGUGGUUAAUACCCAUCAGGAAAGACAUCACUCACAGAAGAAGCACCGGCUAACUCCGUGCCAGCAGCCGCGGUAAUACGGAGGGUGCGAGCGUUAAUCGGAAUUACUGGGCGUAAAGCGCGCGUAGGUGGCUUGAUAAGCCGGUUGUGAAAGCCCCGGGCUCAACCUGGGAACGGCAUCCGGAACUGUCAAGCUAGAGUGCAGGAGAGGAAGGUAGAAUUCCCGGUGUAGCGGUGAAAUGCGUAGAGAUAGGGAGGAAUACCAGUGGCGAAGGCGGCCUUCUGGACUGACACUGACACUGAGGUGCGAAAGCGUGGGUAGCAAACAGGAUUAGAUACCCCAGUAGUC